UUAGCUGUGCUCACAGCUCCUGCUAGCCGGCUACUGGCGUAUAUCUGCAACCUGCCAACUAACCUGCAAUAGUAAGGGAGGAAUAGUAUAUAUUUAAUCGGCUGUAUAGGAAAUUGCAAUAUGAAAUCUGCGCAUGAGCGAUUCUCUUUGCUGUCCAGAUUCAUUCAUAUUCGGGAAUGUUCCUUUAAUGGGUAAUGCAGGAGCGAUCUGAUAUCUGGCCCAGAGGAUACCCAAAUAAUUCUGUAUAUUGACACCAAGGUUACAGGAAGCACCAAUAGAAAUGACAGCUUCUAUCAAUGUCCUCUUCACUUUCUUGAAAAAGAGGUGUUCACAGAGAAAGCUGGAUAGGUAGUAACUGAACAAGUCAAAUAUGGCAGAACCAGAGCAUGUUAUGAGAAGGCUUUGAGUGUCUGAGAAGUCCUCAGAUAAGGAGGGUGCUACUAUUUAUAACACUGCUGAGUGAAGAAUGGUUACUACAACAUGCUGUGUGUAAACAAGGCACUUGCUAGUUACAUUAUCAUCAAUAAAUUAGCACAGUUCGCAGA